rnacentral:rRNA from 1 species
GAUGAACGCUGGCGGUAUGCUUAACACAUGCAAGUCGUACGAAAACUUCGGUUUUAGUGGCGGACGGGUGAGUAACACGUGAGAAUCUGCCUUUAGGAGGGGGAUAACAGCUAGAAAUGACUGCUAAUACCCCAUAUGCCGCAAGGUGAAAUAGUUUUCUGCCUAUAGAAGAGCUCGCGUCUGAUUAGCUUGUUGGUGAGGUAAUGGCUCACCAAGGCGACGAUCAGUAGUUGGUCUAAGAGGAUGGCCAGCCACACUGGGACUGAGACACGGCCCAGACUCCUACGGGAGGCAGCAGUGGGGAAUUUUCCGCAAUGGGCGAAAGCCUGACGGAGCAAUACCGCGUGAGGGAUGAAGGCUCGUGGGUUGUAAACCUCUUUUCUCAGGAAAGAAGCUCUGCCGGUACCUGAGGAAUAAGCAUCGGCUAACUCCGUGCCAGCAGCCGCCGUAAUAC